ACCCAGACUCCUACGGGAGGCAGCAGUGAGGAAUAUUGGUCAAUGGGCGCGAGCCUGAACCAGCCAAGUCGCGUGAGGGAGGACGGCCCUACGGGUUGUAAACCUCUUUUGCCGGGGAGCAACGGGCGCCACGUGUGGCGCCACUGAGAGUACCCGGAGAAAAAGCAUCGGCUAACUCCGUGCCAGCAGCCGCGGUAAUACGUAGGGAGCAAGCGUUAUCCGGAUUUAUUGGGUGUAAAGGGUGCGUAGACGGGAAAUUAAGUUAGUUGUGAAAUCCCUCGGCUCAACUGAGGAACUGCAACUAAAACUGGUUUUCUUGAGUGUUGGAGAGGAAAGCGGAAUUCCUAGUGUAGCGGUGAAAUGCGUAGAUAUUAGGAGGAACACCAGUGGCGAAGGCGGCUUUCUGGACAAUAACUGACGUUGAGGCACGAAAGCGCGGGGAGCAAACAGGAUUAGAUACCCUUGUA
rnacentral:rRNA from 1 species